rnacentral:rRNA from 1 species
CCCUGUUUAUCAAAAACAUGUCUUCUUGUAUUUAUUUGAAGUCGUGCCUGCCCACUGAAUAAUUUAAAGGCCGCGGUAUUUUGACCGUGCAAAGGUAGCAAAAUCAUUAGUCUCUUAAUUGGUGGCUGGAAUGGAAUGGUUUGACGAAACAAUAACUGUCUCGGAAUUAUGAAUUGAAUUUUACUUUUAAGUUAAAAGGCUUAAAUGAUGAUAGGGGACGAGAAGACCCUAUAGAUCUUUAUAAUAAAUUUAUAGUUUUUUAUUUGGUUGAAUUUAUUUAAAUCUAUGGAUUUUUUAUUUCGUUGGGGUGACGAAAGAAUAAAAUAACUUCUUUAUUAAUUAACUAUGAUGAUUGGUUAUAUGAUCCUUUAUAUAUGGAAUUAAGAUUAAGAUACCUUAGGGAUAACAGCGUAAUUUUGUUGAAGAGUUCUUAUCGAUAAUGAAGAUUGCGACCUCGAUG